rnacentral:rRNA from 1 species
UACAGAGGGUGCGAGCGUUAAUCGGAAUUACUGGGCGUAAAGCGUGCGUAGACGGUUAUUUAAGUCGGGUGUGAAAGCCCCGGGCUCAACCUGGGAAUUGCAUUCGAGACUGAAUAGCUAGGGUACGGUAGAGGGAAGCGGAAUUUCCGGUGUAGCGGUGAAAUGCGUAGAUAUCGGAAGGAACAUCAGUGGCGAAAGCGGCUUCCUGGACCAGUACCGACGUUCAGGCACGAAAGCGUGGGGAGCAAGCAGG